rnacentral:rRNA from 1 species
CAGUCGCCGCGGGAAUACGAAGGGUGCAAGCGUUACUCGGAAUUACUGGGCGUAAAGCGUGCGUAGGUGGUGGUUUAAGUCCGUUGUGAAAGCCCUGGGCUCAACCUGGGAAUUGCAGUGGAUACUGGGUCACUAGAGUGUGGUAGAGGAUAGUGGAAUUUCCGGUGUAGCAGUGAAAUGCGUAGAGAUCGGGAGGAACAUCAGUGGUGAAGGCGGCCAUCUGGGACAACACUGACGCUGAGGCACGAAAGCGUGGGGAGCAAACAGGAUUAGAUACCCGCGUAGUCCCUGUCUCUUAUAC